rnacentral:pre_miRNA from 1 species
GUGAGUCUUUGAACCAGGAAUAUAAUUUGUAUAUAUUGGUUCAAAUCGCUCGUAG